UUGACAUACUAAGAACUUUCCAGAGAUGGAUUGGUGGCCUUCGGGAACUUUAGAUACAGGUGCUGCAUGGCUGUCGUCAGCUCGUGUCGUGAGAUGUUGGGUUAAGUCCCGCAACGAGCGCAACCCUUUUCCUUAUUUGCCAGCGGGUCAUGCCGGGAACUUUAAGGAUACUGCCAGUGACAAACUGGAGGAAGGCGGGGACGACGUCAAGUCAUCAUGGCCCUUACGGCCAGGGCUACACACGUGCUACAAUGGUCGGUACAAAGGGUUGCUACCUCGCGAGAGGAUGCUAAUCUCAAAAAGCCGAUCGUAGUCCGGAUCGCAGUCUGCAACUCGACUGCGUGAAGUCGGAAUCGCUAGUAAUCGCGGAUCAGAAUGCCGCGGUGAAUGCGUUCCCGGGCCUUGUACACACCGCCCGUCACACCAUGGGAGUUUGUUGCACCAGAAGUAGGUAGUCUAACCGCAAGGAGGACGCUUACCACGGUGUGGCCGAUGACUGGGGUGAAGUCGUAACAAGGUAAGCGUAGAUGA
rnacentral:rRNA from 1 species